rnacentral:rRNA from 1 species
CGGCAGGCCUAACACAUGCAAGUCGAGGGGUAACAGGGAGAAGCUUGCUUUUCCGCUGACGACCGGCGCACGGGUGCGUAACGCGUAUACAAUCUGCCUUAUACUGGGGUAUAGCCUUUAGAAAUGAAGAUUAAUCCCCCAUAGUCUCUUAGAGUGGCAUCAUUUUAGGAGUAAAGGUUACGGUAUAAGAUGAGUAUGCGUUCUAUUAGUUUGUUGGUGAGGUAACGGCUCACCAAGGCUACGAUAGAUAGGGGCCCUGAGAGGGGGAUCCCCCACACUGGUACUGAGACACGGACCAGACUCCUACGGGAGGCAGCAGUGAGGAAUAUUGGACAAUGGAGGCAACUCUGAUCCAGCCAUGCCGCGUGCAGGAAGACUGCCCUAUGGGUUGUAAACUGCUUUUAUAUAGGAAGAAACCUACUUACGUGUAAGUAGCUGACGGUACUAUAAGAAUAAGGAUCGGCUAACUCCGUGCCAGCAGCCGCGGUAAUACGGAGGAUCCAAGCGUUAUCCGGAAUCAUUGGGUUUAAAGGGUCCGUAGGUGGAUAAUUAAGUCAGAGGUGAAAUCUUGCAGCUCAACUGUAAAAUUGCCUUUGAUACUGGUUAUCUUGAGUUAUUAUGAAGUAGUUAGAAUAUGUAGUGUAGCGGUGAAAUGCAUAGAUAUUACAUAGAAUACCAAUUGCGAAGGCAGAUUACUAAUAAUCAACUGACACUGAUGGACGAAAGCGUGGGUAGCGAACAGGAUUAGAUACCCUGGUAGUCCACGCCGUAAA